rnacentral:lncRNA from 1 species
CAGUGUGAGCAGAUGGUGCUAUCGGUGGAGACAAGAUUGCUAGGUACGUAGCUGUGCACACUUUCUUUCUUUUUUAGGUACGAGGUGACACGCCAACUCUGCUUACGCUAUGGAUAUGAGGAUAACUAUAUAUGACCUCCAGUGCAACUCAUCGAGGAACCGGCCAAAAUCUACCCGUUUUGGAUGACUUCCGGAGAAGCCUCAAACUAACACUUCACGUUUCCCCCAAUGUAUCACAUGAUUUCCGGAGAAACCUCAAAAUUUUGGAUUUACCGUCCAUGGUGGCUGCAGGAUGUGUUUGAGAAUCCAUAAGACAAUCAUGAGCAUCAGGAUGUUGGUGGCAGGCACCAGUCCUAGUAGGCCAGAGGAGUUGUAUCUUAGUCUCUGGUGUUUCUGUGUUCCAUGUCUGUUGCAAGGAGCACAAUAGAGAAUUGUUCCAAACAAAUAAAAAAAAGGAAAGAGAACCCACUAAACUUUUUUGUGUACUUAGGACGUUCUUAAAUGAAUGUACUUUAAUAUCCCUGUUGGAAGCAACUGAUCAGUUGGAUAUGAUUACAAUCAGUGGAGCUGUACCUGCAACAUGUGGAAGGUGUCACAAGUUUAUUAUUGAACUGCUAUUAAGGACACUGUUAGCCUUCUCUAAGUUUUUUACUUAUUUUUCAUUCAAACUUCUGUUGAUUUUUUUUUCUUUGGGACGACGAUGUUUAACUUUACAUGCGAUAAGUACAAAGAAGUAGGUAACAGUGAGCAUUGUUGAUGGUUUGC